AGAUACCCCAUUAUACUUUAUUAAAAUUAUUAUCAGACUAGAGUAAUAACAGGUAUAAGCUCGAAAUUCAAAGAAUUUGGCGGUACUUUAAUCUAACUGGAGGAACCUGUUUUAUAAACGAUAUGCCACGAAAAAUCUUACUUGUUUUAAAUAGUUUGUAUACCGUCAUUAUUAGAUAAUCUUUAAAGGGAGAAUUAUUUAAAUUAAUAUAAUUAAAUAUAUUAGAUCAAGGUGCAGCUUAUAGGCAAGAAAAAAUGGGUUACAAUAAAUUUAUUUAGAUGAAUUUAAAAAUUUUAAAAAUUUAAUGAAGGCGGAUUUAGUUGUAUAUAUAAUUUAAUAAGUUAUAUAGAAAUUGGCUCUAAAGUGUGUACAUAUCG
rnacentral:rRNA from 1 species